GAUCGCAUGAUCAGCUUUUGAAAGGCGGCGUAAGCUGUCGCUAAGGGAUGGCCCCGCGGUGCAUUAGCUAGUUGGUAAGGUAACGGCUUACCAAGGCGACGAUGCAUAGCCGAGUUGAGAGACUGAUCGGCCACAUUGGGACUGAGACACGGCCCAAACUCCUACGGGAGGCAGCAGUAGGGAAUCUUCCACAAUGGACGCAAGUCUGAUGGAGCAACGCCGCGUGAGUGAAGAAGGUUUUCGGAUCGUAAAGCUCUGUUGUUGGUGAAGAAGGAUAGAGGUAGUAACUGGCCUUUAUUUGACGGUAAUCAACCAGAAAGUCACGGCUAACUACGUGCCAGCAGCCGCGGUAAUACGUAGGUGGCAAGCGUUGUCCGGAUUUAUUGGGCGUAAAGCGAGCGCAGGCGGAAAAAUAAGUCUAAUGUGAAAGCCCUCGGCUUAACCGAGGAACUGCAUCGGAAACUGUUUUUCUUGAGUGCAGAAGAGGAGAGUGGAACUCCAUGUGUAGCGGUGGAAUGCGUAGAUAUAUGGAAGAACACCAGUGGCGAAGGCGGCUCUCUGGUCUGCAACUGACGCUGAGGCU
rnacentral:rRNA from 1 species